rnacentral:lncRNA from 1 species
CUAGGUUGGAGACAAAUCUUUUCCUCUGGAGUCAGUGAAGCAGCUGAAGAUGCUGAUGGGUUUAGAAGAUGGUGACAUUAGCCUUCCUCUCCCUGAGACAAGCGUUGAAGCUGCUUGUGCCAACCCUCUCCUACCAAGGAUCUUCAGGCCAGUGUGUCGGGGGAAAAGGACAGGAAUUGUUUUCUCAAGAUUAGGUAAGAGCAGGUGAAAGAGGAGGGAAAAAACAAAGAAAAAUAGUUGAGAAAAUAUAUGACUGCUUUGAUUUAAUUUCUGCCCAAACACAUUAUUAGAUAAUUUCCACAGUGUUUCUCUCAAGUCUUAUUUUAUUGUAUUUACUGAUUUGUAUGUAAACACAAUUUAUCAAGAAGCAGUUCACUGCAAUGGGUAAAAGAAUGGAGAGAAGUUAUGCCACUUACAUAUUGGAUUUUUGAAACAUUACAACAAGCAAAUAAUAAUAAUAAUAAUAAAAAUAAUAAUAAUAAUAAUAAUGCAUCAGAUUUUUAUAGCGCCUUAUCAGAGACCCUCAGAGCGCUUUACAUUGGAUACAUCAUUCAUUCGCUCACUAGUGGUGGGCAAAACCGUUCAUUUCAGUGAACCAGAUCAUUCCGGUUCGUUCAGUAAAAAGAUCUGGUCAUUUCGGUCAAUUGGUCGUUAGUCAGUCCAUUCGCUCAUGUUCACGUUCGUUCAGCGUCUGAACGAACGUGAACAUGAGCGAACGGACUGACUCAACACGGCUGACCGGGUUUAUGCAGGGGAAGAUCUGUUCAGACUCUGAACGAACGAGAGCCUCUUAGCUCCCUUUGUGACAAUAACAUCAAGUAUUUCCAACAGUUACGUCUUUGCUGACAUUCAAAACACAGAGAGAUCUAAGGAUACGUAUUCAACAGCUGUGUGACUUGGGACAAUCUCAUGCACAUUUUUUCGAAAAACUCCAGGUAACAGGGUCACUUUUUACACCGGCAUGUUGACCCAGCUAAAUCAAGCUAUAUAGCUAGGCUAGCACAUUACACAUUGGUACUAAUUCAAAUGGUGGCUGAAUACAGAUGUGUCUGUACACAGACACCGUACAGCAUCGGGAUAUUUUGCUGGACAAACGCAUCUGGCUGCCUCAAGCAACCCCACGUACUCUUAUCAACCGCUGUUUGUUAGCUUAGCAUGCUAAACCUUCUGCUUGUGAGUCUCUGCCUCUGGCUGCAGCUGUGUGCCUGAUGUGUGUGUGACUGUCCCGCUUGCCCGGGCUCGGCUGUCGGCUCGUGCGGCGGCCGCGGCACUGUUUGGACUCAUGAGUACAGAUACCCCCCGCAAGAGACUGCCUUAUAGUUUAUUUUAUUCAGUACAUCUUGUUGCGUUCACAAGUCGGUUGGCUAGUGACAGGCUGACAGCACCUCGCAGAGAGUGAACGCAUGUACUCAGUCAGUCUGAGAGUCGGUCAAUCUCUCGGUCAAACCGAGAUGACUGAAAGAAAGGGACUGAUGACCGACUCGGUCUCCCUCUUUUCAGUCAGCUCAGUGCUGCUGCUGCUUCUCUGAGCCCCACCCACAGAGCAAGGCACGACGAUAGGAUAAGACAGGCAAGCACGGAGAUAGUCCCGCCCUAAGGAACGGUGAACUGACUCUUCAGCCAAUCAAAAGAACUGAACGGACUGAAUGGAUCAUUUAGGGGGGGUGACCUAGUUCAUUUCGUUCACCAAAAAGAACUAGUUCUUUUGAUCUGUUUGUUCAUGACCGACACACCACUAUCGCUCACACAGUCACACCCUGGUGGUGGUAAACUACCUUUGUAGUCACAGCUGCCCUGGGGCAGACUGACGGAAAUGUGGCUGCCAGUUUGCGCCUACGGCCUCUCCGACCACCACCACACAACAGAAGGUGAAAUUGAUCAAAUAUAACCGCAAGUCACUCACUGAUAUCAAACUAGUGCUGAAAAGUAAAGGAGUGGACAGUGAAGUAAAAAUGACUUCUGAACACAAGAGAUGAAAAAGGGUUUAGAAGAGAGGAGUGAAGAACAGAGCGGUGCCCGCCAGCAUCAAAUGUAAGAGAAUAAAAAACGUCGAAUGUAAGACAAUAAAAUGAACUUCUUGUUUGUUUGUAAACCCUAAGGAUGACAUCUUUGUCUAGAUAAAGUUGGUAUGUGUUUUCUGUAUCAGCAAUAAAAAAACAAGGCCAAAAGAAAGCCCGAACUUUGUGCAAACAUUACUCAUCACUGUUUAGCCCUACAAAUAAGAAUUGUACGCCAUCCCCUUGGUGCUUUGGUUGUGGGCAAUGGCUAGCCUCAGUCACAAGGGCUUAUGAACAAAUACCGUUCAAAAGUUUAGACCCUGAAAAUAAGACAGCCCUAGUUUUUCAGGUGGAAACAAAGGAAAACAAAUAAAAUGCAAAAAUGCAAAUAAAAUAACAACUUGUUAGCUUGGCUAAGCGGUAAAACUAAAAACAGUAAAAAAUCUGCUUAGAGCACAUCUGAAGUAAUUCAUAUUAAGUUAUAUGCCAUUUGUUUUUCUGUCAUCUAUCCAUAAAGCCAUUAGAGUUAUUACAUUUUCAUGAUCCAACCAUGAAAAAGACAGGUUGUAGAAUAUUGACAUAAUGUUGAACUACCCGUUUAAUUUCACCUUUCACAAAGGAUAGGAUCACACCCAAGCUCUCAAGAAACGACUGAAUCAACACUUUCAUCGCUCUGGCACACACUCUCUCUCAAAAUUGACAUAAAGACAAUGACAACAGGCUUCAGUUUGUUCUCUCAAAUUGAUAAUGCUCUCUGUUUACACAUCUAAUUAUCCACAUCCUGCUACUUCUGCUCCAUAAAGUGGCUCUGAAAUGAUAAUGCCAGAUGAGAGGCCUGUGAAAAGCUUAGCAAAUAUUCCUUAGGGACCAUUAAAGCUCAUUAGACACAGACGACACCCUUAUUGCAGACAGAUACAGAUCCCAUUAUACAUAUUAGCAGUGCUUGAUACAACAGGAAAGCGGGACUCUUGGGAUGGACAAAAAUAUCAUCUAUGUCAUAAACACAUUUAAAAACAUGAUUUCAAUUUUCUUCAUUUUACAGUGAAAAUCAUCUCACCCUUGGAUCCUUGUGAGAUAUGUGCCAACCCCUCCUGCUUCGGGUGUCUGAUCUGAGGCUGCCAAUCUGCUUAACACAUCAUCUAAGAGUCUCUGGGGGGGUCAUCGUUUUAGCUUUUUCCACAUGAUCUCUAUGAAUAAAGGAUCUCUGUAUAUUUGCAAAACACAUUCCGCCAUCAAGGAACCAAAUAUGAUGAAUUCUGCACUUCUGUGGUCACAAUAUAUGAUCAUAAUUAUCGCAUAAAAACCACGGGGACAUGAAAUAUUUCGAGGCAAGGCAAGUUUAUUUGUAUAGCACCAUUCAUACACAAGGCAAUUCAAAGUGCUUUUCAGAUGCAAGGGAAUACAUAAAAAAAAUUUAAAAAGGAGAGAUUAAAACAAUUUAAAAUCAGAAAGACAUGAAAUGAUUUAUAAUCAAAAAGACAAACAACUGAAAAUCAGAAAGACAUGAUACGCAAUUUAAAAUCAUUAAAACAGUUGAAAUUGAUGGAACAACAAAGUAAAGGUUUAAGGAAUUAACGCUUUAGGAAAGCUGCAGUAUAC